UACGGAGGGGCUAGCGUUGUUCGGAAUUACUGGGCGUAAAGCGCACGUAGGCGGCUUUGCAAGUUAGAGGUGAAAGCCCGGGGCUCAACUCCGGAAUUGCCUUUAAAACUGCAUCGCUAGAAUUGUGGAGAGGUAAGUGGAAUUCCGAGUGUAGAGGUGAAAUUCGUGAGAUAUUCGGAAGAACACCAGUGGCGAAGGCGACUUACUGGACACAUAUUGACGCUGAGGUGCGAAAGCGUGGGGAGCAAACAGG
rnacentral:rRNA from 1 species